UACCUACGGGGCGCAGCAGUGGGGGAUAUUGCACAAUGGGGGGAACCCUGAUGCAGCGACGCCGCGUGGGUGAAGGAGCGUUUCGGCGCGUAAAGCCCUAUCGGCAGGGAAGAAGGAGGACGGUACCUGACUAAGAAGCCCCGGCUAACUACGUGCCAGCAGCCGCGGUAAUACGUAGGGGGCAAGCGUUAUCCGGAUUUACUGGGUGUAAAGGGGGCGCAGGCGGUCCUGCACGUCUGGAGUGAAACGCAUGAGCUCCACUCAUGCAUGGCUUUGGAAACUG
rnacentral:rRNA from 1 species